AUCCAGAGACACGUUCUGCAGCCUCCUGGCUCUGAGCAGUUACCAGCCAGUCGCCUGAGAAGUUUCCACUCCAGAACCAGGAAAAAUGAGAUUUUUGCUCCUUUUAAGUUUCGUGGUAGCAGCUUUAGAAGGUGUUUGGUCCCAGGUCCAGCUGGUGGAGUCCGGAGGGGGUGUGAAAAGCCCCGGAGAGUCUCUCCGUCUCUCCUGCAAAGCCUCCGGGUUCCACUUCAGUGAUUCCUACAUGAGCUGGCUCCGACUGGCACCAGGAAAGGAACUAGAAUGGGUCAGUUAUAUAAACCCCGAUGGGAGCGAGAAACGCUACCGUGAUUCAGUGAAAGGCCGAUUCACAAUCUCCAGGGAUAAUUACAAGAAUGAGCUGUAUCUGCAAAUGUACAACCUGAAACUCGAGGACACUGCCAUCUAUUACUGUGAGAAAGGCACAGGGAAACCCCCUUCUCCCAGCAGCCGCGUGGGGGGAGCAGUGACAGUCACCCCGCUUCAGGCUUAGACAG